AUCUCUGUAGAGUCUGCAUAUCAAUAAGCGGAGGAAAAGAAACUAACUAGGAUUCCCUCAGUAACGGCGAGUGAAGCGGGAAGAGCUCAAAUUUGAAAUCUUCAAGGUUUUACCUUGACGAAUUGUAGUUUAAAGAAGUGUUUUCUGUUGGUGUUUUGGUAAAAGUUCUUUGGAAUAGGACAUCAUAGAGGGUGAGAAUCCCGUAUUUGACCAUUACUUCCAGCUUUGUGAUACACUUUCAAAGAGUCGGAUUGUUUGGGAAUGCAGUCCAAAAUGGGUGGUAAAUUUCAUCUAAAGCUAAAUAUUGGCGAGAGACCGAUAGCGAACAAGUACCGUGAGGGAAAGAUGAAAAGAACUUUGAAAAGAGAGUUAAAUAGUACGUGAAAUUGUCAAAAGGGAAGCGUUUGACACCAGUGUUGUUUUCUCGAAAAUCAAUUAAAAAAAGUUGGAUUUUGUAUUGUUAAGACCUUAUCAGCUUACUGUACUCUUUUCUUGCUUUUUUUAAUGCACUUUUCGUUUAACAAGUCAACAUCAAUUUCUUUUGUUGUAAAAGAGUCAUUGGAAGGUGGCUUUCACUUCGGUGAAAGUGUUUAUAGCCUUUGGCUUCUGCAAUCGGAGAGAUUGAGGUCUGCAGCGUAGAUCCUUCGGGGCUAGAUACGUAGAUGCUAAGUUAUAGUUUUUUAUAGACAACUUGUUGACUAUAAUUAAUCAUGUAGCUUACUCGUUUGCGCUAUUUUACCUACGCUUAGGAUGUUGAAGAUGUAGCACAUCAU
rnacentral:rRNA from 1 species